rnacentral:rRNA from 1 species
CAAUGGGGGAAACCCUGNAUGCAGCGACGCCGCGCUGAGUGAAGAAGUAUUUCGGUAUGUAAAGCUCUAUCAGCAGGGGAAGAAAAUGACGGUACCUGACUAAGAAGCCCCGGCUAACUACGUGCCAGCAGCCGCGGUAAUACGUAUGGUGCAAGCGUUAUCCGGAUUUACUGGGUGUAAAGGGUGCGUAGGUGGUAUGGCAAGUCAGAAGUGAAAGGCUGGGGCUCAACCCCGGGACUGCUUUUGAAACUGUAAGGCUAGAGUGCAGGAGGGGUGAGUGGAAUUCCUAGUGUAGCGGUGAAAUGCGUAGAUAUUAGGAGGAACACCAGUGGCGAAGGCGGCUCACUGGACUGUAACUGACACUGAGGCUCGAAAGCGUGGGGAGCAAACAGGAUUAGAUACCCUGGUAGUCCAAGGGCGAAUUC